rnacentral:lncRNA from 1 species
GGGACAGAGAGCUUUAAAGAGACUGGGGUAAAAUGAAGAGAGACUUUUGGACUUCAGAGUUUCUAAAGAGAAGACCAGUAGAGCUCCAAGCAGUUUGUUGUUCAUCUCCAGGAAAAGGGAAGAGCUCUCGGGCUGCUCACCCCUUUAACCCCAGCACUCAGUAACACAGUCAAGUGGAUCUCUGAGUUUGAGGCCAGCCUGGUCUACACAUUGAGUUCCAAGAUAGCCAGGGUAUGUAACAGAACAACAAAAGGAAAAAGAAGAAUAAGAAUAAGAAUAAAAAAGAAAAAAAAAGAAAAAGGAAAAAAGAAAAAGGAGGAAGGAAGGAGAGAAAGGAAGGAGAAGAAGGAAAUGAAAGGAGAGGAGAGGAAAGGAAAAGAGUAGAGAAGGGAAAUGAAAAAAGAAAAGCAGAGAAAAAGAGAAGAGAGAAAAGAAAAGAGAGAAUAGAAAAAAGGAAAAUGUGGUUCCAAACCCUGGUCAGGUCUGGAGCGAGGUCAAACGUGUGAAACUGUUGUUCAGGGCUAGGAAAACAACACUGCCUGCCAGUCCUGUGAGCCAGGGGACAGAACACUGAGUCAAUAUUACUCUUGAGACUUAAGGUCCCAUUGAAUUUGCCUGCUAGGUUUGUGCUGGACCCUGGGACUCAUCACUGCUCAGGUCUUUCUGAUGUUUCCCUUUCGGAAUAGGAAUAUCUAACCUGUAUCUGUCUAGUCAUUGGACUUUGGAAGCAAGUUCCAUGUUUAACUUCAUAGGAUUGCUGAUAGAAAUACGGCUUACAGGUGAACUGGAACUAUAUCCUCACCCAUACAUGAAUUAGAUAUUUGUAUUAAGAGAUUUUCAAUUUAGAGCUGACGCUGAAAUGAGUUAAGGAUGUAAGGUGCUGAGGAUUCUGGGAAUCCUAGCCCCACAACAUAAAUACCGAUACCUUACCUCUAGUGUGGCGUGACUUGGAGGCAGGACAUUUAAUAAAGGUUAAACAAGGUCAUCUGGAUGUGGUCCUAUCCAGAAUUCGAGGCACCAGGAAAAGUAUAUACAGGAGGGAUGGACCUGUAGGUGCACAGCACAUCGGGAAGCCAUCCAUCUGCUAAGGGGAGGUGUAGUCACGGCAACACCUGAGCCGGCCUGAUAGAGGACUUCUAGGCUCAUAUAUAUGGCGAAGUAAACUUCUUUUGCCUGAGCUCUAUGGUCUGGGGUAUUUUGUUAGAAAACCCUAGAAAACUAACGCAUACUGCUAACUGAAGAUAGUAAACUAUAAACCAAUGAUUUCAUGAACAAGUAAGGGCUUUCCCCUACUCCAUUUCCAGAAACAUUUACUAGUGAUUUCUGUCAGUUUCAUGCUCCUGGAAAAAGGAAGAAACGAGUCAGGCAAACACCUCUCAGGCUUAGAAGUUGAUGGCCAUACUUGGCCUUCCUAUGUCUAUGAAAGUGAAACUUCCAGCUGAAGCCAUGCCCACAAUGCCCGUUCUUAGGGCUUCUUGCCUGAGUAAGUCUGCUGAUGUCUGAUGAGGGCAGAGUUAAAGCCAACGCCGUGCCCAAACCAAUGGCUUCUCUUUGGAGUGGACUGGGUCCUCUAGUCAGAGAUGAGGUGUCAUCCCAUCCAGUCCCUACCUACAUAGGCUGUUUACAAAAUGCUUCUACUUGGAGUGUGUCCUCUGGUGUCUAGUAAGAAGUGACUUAAAAGCAAAGGCACGCCCACACUGGGGGCACAGGUAAGGCUUCUCCCCUGUAUGGCUCCUCUGGUGCCCUAUAAGGUUGAACUUUUGGCUAAAUGCCUUGCCACACUCAGGGCACACGUAGGGCUUCUCCCCCGUAUGUGUCUUUUGGUGUCUGAUGAAAAGAGACUUAAACUCAAAGGCUCGACCACACUCAGUACACUGGUAAGGCUUCUCCUCUCCGUGGGUCCUCUGGUGUCUAAUGAGAGAGACCUUCUUUCCAAAUGCUCGCCCACACUCAGCACACAGGAAUGGCUUCUCCCCCGUGUGAAUCCUCUGGUGCCUAGCGAGGUUGAACUUCUGCCUGAAGCGCUGGCCACACUGGGGACAGGCAUAGGGCUUUUCCCCCGUGUGUGUCUUCUGGUGCCCAAUGAGGUUGAACUUCUGGCUAAACCCUCUGCCACACUGAGGACACACAUAAGGCUUCUCCCCCGUGUGUAUCUUCUGGUGUCUGGUGAGGAGCGACUUAAACUCAAAGGUGCGUCCACACUCGGGACACUGGUAAGGUUUCUCCCACCCUGCGUGGGUCCUCUGGUGUCUGAUGAGCAUGGACUGCUUUACAAACGCACGCCCACACUCAGGGCACAGAAAAGGUAACUCCCCUGUAUGAAUCCUCUGGUGCCCGAUGAGGUUGAACUUCUGGCUAAACCCCCUACCACACUGGGGGCACACGUAGGGCUUCUCCCCCAUGUGCGUUUUACGGUGUCUGGUGAGGAGCGACUUAAACUCAAAGGCUCGUCCACACUCAGGGCAUAGGAAAGGUUUUACCUCUGUGUGAAUCCUCUGGUGCCUAAUGAGGUUAACCUUCUGGGUGAAACUCCAGCCACACUGGCGACACACAAAAGGCUUCUCCCCGGUAUGUGUCUUCUGAUGUCUCAUGAGCGUACCCUUUUGGCCAAAGCGUUGUCCGCAGUCCGGGCAAACGUGAGGUUUCUCACCAGAGUGUGUGACCUGGUGAGUGAGGAGCCGGGAGAGCAGCCUGAAGCCACGCCCACACACCGAGCAGAUGAAGGGGUUGUCACCCGAGUGUGACCAGCUGUGCUGUAGCAGCGAGGCUUUCCGGCAAAAGCCCCUCCCACACUCGGGACACACGAAGGGCUUUUUAUCCAGGUGAGUCCGCUGGUGGAGGAGGAGGUCUAUCUUCUGGCGGAAGCCACGCCCACACUCGGGACAAACAAGGGGGCUCUCUCCAGAGUGGAUAAUCUUCUUGUGGCUGUUGAGGGAGGAUACAUACAUGAAGCCUCGCCCACACUCCUCACACACGUGCGGCUUCUCUCCAGAGUGUUUCCUCUGAUGGACCGUGAGAGACGCCUUCUGAGCGAACUGGUGCCCGCACUCCGAACACGAGUAAGGCUUCUCCACUCCGUCCAUUCUCUGGAGCUUCAUGAGGUCAGAACUCUGGCAAAAGCCCCCUCCGCAGUCAGGAAACACGUGGUGCUUCUGAGGGCUGAACAGGUUUGUGACAUCAUCAAGCCCUAGCGGAAAUGCUCCAUGUAGGACGGCCCCAGAUGCUGACUCAUCGGGUCCCUUCAACACUGUGACUGCCUCCUCAGGGGCCAGGCCAAGGUCUGUUUGUUUACUGUCGCCUUCUACCCAGUAUGCUGCCUGAUCUUGACAUGGGCUAAAGAACGUCUUCAGAAUUCUCGUUGGACUUGUCCUCUGCAACAGAGCAUCGCUGCUGUCUCUCUCUUCACCUCCUUCAUUGCUGGAACAGCCUGGAGCUUCUGACUGGAAGUUGCUCCCUGCUGGUGGGCUUGGAAAAGUCUGAGAGGGAGGUCCAUUCAGCACACACACUCUGAGGACUUCCGGACUAGCAAAGGAUACCGGGGACGAAAGAGAGGGCUCUAAUUCUGUCCUGGGUUCUGCUAGAGAGAAAGCAGUAGUCAGAAUCACAGAGGUGCCUUGUGGAUAGGAACAUUUCCCCAACAGUGAUUCCUCAGAUGCUCAUAAAUACUCCCUUUACAGGUCUAUCUUCCACACUCUACUGAAAACGGCCUUCCCACAGCUCUGAAAGGAAAACUAAAACACUGAAAAGCCUUAUGGGUAAUGUAUGCUCUGUAAGCUAUUACAACUAGAACUGCUAAUCGUGGUGUGAACGUCCAUGAAUACUCGCUUUUACUCUAUCAGGAAUUACAAGAUUCUUCAGUGAUUUUCUUUCUUUUAUAAGGAAGUGACUAAGUUUCAAGUCAUCCCCCAAAUGGGAGAGGCAGUACCAAAUAAUGUCAAGAGGUCCAUCUGUGGUAUUCAACUGAAUGCUCCCUCAUCCAGAAAGCAAACCAAGAAAAUAAGCUGGGAUUCUCUUAUCAGAAAAUGGGGAUUCGGCAAUGAAGCAGGAUGUCAUGGACUCCAACUAUAAGCCCUUAAAGAAAUCUGAUUCUUGAGACCGAAUUAAUCCCUGCUCGUUGAAUGGACUUCUUGACAAUUACUAAUGCUGUUCCUCGUGGCUGCCCAAAGCUUUGGUACCCAGAGCUGGACACCAAAGGUCCUACUGUGGUCAGCUUCUCAUCAGGAAAUGUGUUCUAAACUGGCUCGCUAGACUCUGAUUUGCUCUGGUCCGAAGUUCCCUAAGCUCUUUAUGCUGCGUUUCCUCCAGGUCACUUAGCAGACAGACAACUUAAGGGUAGGUCGGCAGCUGAAAAUAUCACCGCGGUCUCCAGCCACUGAGCAUCGGCUGUUUCUUUCUACAGUGUCUUCCAGUUCCGACUAGACUCCAUCAUUCUUCAGACACUGGUUCUGACUGCCUCGGUCAGCUCACUGCUUUCUUGAUGGGAAGACCUGGAUUUCUCUUUUAUGACAUUUUCA